GAUAAACGCUGGCGGCGCACAUAAGACAUGCAAGUCGAACGGACUUAACUCGAAGUUUACUUUGAGAGCGGUUAGUGGCGGACUGGUGAGUAACACGUAAGCAACCUGCCUAUCAGAGGGGAAUAACAGUGAGAAAUCAUUGCUAAUACCGCAUAUGCCCACAGUAUCACAUGAUACAGUGAGGAAAGGAGUAAUCCACUGAUAGAUGGGCUUGCGUCUGAUUAGCUAGUUGGUGGGGCAACGGCCUACCAAGGCGACGAUACGUAGCCGACCUGAGAGGGUGAUCGGCCACACUGGAACUGAGACACGGUCCAG
rnacentral:rRNA from 1 species